GGAUGUGAGAGCAAUCUUUCACCCCAUUGAUCACCAGGGUUGAUUUGGCUGAUCCGGCUGGCUAGGCGAGUGUCUCCUUCCUCCCUCACAGCUCCAUGUGCGUCCCUCCCGAAGCUGCGCGCUCGGUUGAAGAGGACGACCAACCCCGAUAGAGGAGGACCGUUCUUCUAGGUCAAGGUCAAGGGUGUACGAGUAACUGCGCUCCCCUGCUACAGCCUCCAAACAAGCUCUCUACAGGUCUUAAUACUUUCUAUAUACUAACUCAUUUGAUCCUCACUAAAAUCAUACGAAAUAAGAAUUACUACGAUCUCUUUAUAGUUAUUUUU
rnacentral:snRNA from 1 species